AGGAUCUGGGUGCUGCCAAGAAAA
rnacentral:siRNA from 1 species